UAACUGAAAGUGAGCCAAUGGGAGGCAAGCCCGGACUCUCAGGAAUCUUAAAGGAAAAGGAGCUUUCCUUCUCCUGGUGUUGCUACAAGUGGAAGUACGACUGAACUACUGAGAGCCAUCUUGCCACUGGCAAAGGCAAAAGUGAAGCCAACACAAAGGGAAAUUUAUCUGCAAGAAAGAGAAAGUCUGGAGACCAUUUGAGUCCCUCCAUCCAGCCUUACCUGAAGCCAAUACCACUAGAUCCUUCAUUUAUUUGAACACAUAUAUAUUUGUUCGGCUUUUUAGCGUUGGUGGUUUCUGUCAUGUGCAGUUUAAAAGUCUGACUGAUGAGAUGGAGACAGAGAGGACAGGGCUUUCCGAAAAUGGGAAAGGGGUGUGUUCAAAGCUGCACUGGAAGUUUGAUGGGCCUAGAGGGCACGCUAUUGUAAAGAGGCGCAGGAGAGGAGUCUGGAAAGGCAGAUGUGGAUUGAAAGGGCCGUCAGCCCUCAGCAGCAAAGGCUGAGCUUCCUCCUGAGCUUCUGGAAUUUUCUAUUUUUACAUCAAAUAAUCAACUUGGAACGCGGGGUGAGGUCACAGUGGCCUUGUAUUUGGCAUCUUUUUUUCCUUGCAGAAGCCUUUCGCAAAUGUCCCCAGAAGAAUCAGCUGCUCAUUGGUUCUUGCGUCACCUGUCACAUCGUGUGUGCGUGUCCUGGUGUCUCCGAUGGACGAUGAGGUGCUUGAGGGCAGGAGCCAUUUGUGUCCCCAGAGCCUCGGUCCCGGCCUGGCCUUCUGAAAGCAGAUGCUCAUAACCAAGUGAAGGCUGCACUGAGCGGACAUGAUAAUUACAGCUUCACAAAUGUGUUUUCUCUCAACAGCCAGGCAGCAACUUGUCUCGGAGCAGAAACACAUCGCACUGGAUUUGGUAUUCUCUGACCAUGCCUAGCAGAGAGGACACUGAAGCUCAAAGAGGCUACUCAGCUUGCCCAAGGCCACACAACUAGUAAACACUGGAGCCUGCAGCGGCUGUCAUGUCUGAUUGGUCACCAUCAUAAUAAAGAGGAGUGGUCACCAGGGAGCUCUGUGAAGCAGCCACCAUAGGAGGAGGAGCAGGGCUGGGAGACCCGUGUUCGAAUCCAGAGAGCCGCCCAGCCUCAGACAAGCCCUUCACGCUCCGCGCGCUCAUCCGGCAAGCGAUACUCUGAUUACAAAUGCGCAACAGGAGAUGCAAGACAGCCUGGCCGAGGGUCAGCGCGUGAUCCAUAGCCGGGACCAAAUGCAUGCUCGUUCCUCUGGGGUCAGGGACAACUGUCGUGUGCUGACACGGAGCCAACCCCAAGCCGGGCACAGGGAGUGAGCUGCUGACUGCGAGCUUUGAGUGGCAACUGAGAUAGGCACGUGAGCCUUGAUGGUCACAGGACAACUCAGAAAGGACUCACACACACGUGGAU